AUGCAGUUUCAGCGCCGCUCCUUUCCGCUGAAUGACUUUGAGAAGUUACCUAUCAGGAGCCUUCCUCCGUGUCGCCACGGUCAUCUAAAGAGGGUGCUCAUCACAGGGUUCCAUGGGGCCCGGGGUGAGAUUGAACUUGCAGCUCAUGUUGCAGAUAACUCCACCAGGCUUCAGGCCUUGGUCAUAGAUCCAGUCAUGAGAGGUGUGGAUAGCAAUAUGCUUACUUUAACGCCCGAGGGAAGAGCUAUGUACUGGGAUCUUGCCCGUAAGAAUGCUAAGAAGUACCUUGCCAGGAGAGUCGCACAGGGUGCACGGUUUGAUGUUCUGUGA
rnacentral:rRNA from 1 species